GACAGAGGGUGCAAACGUUGUUCGGAAUUACUGGGCGUAAAGCGCGUGUAGGCGGCCCUGCAAGUCGGAUGUGAAAUCCCACGGCUCAACCGUGGAAGUGCAUUCGAAACUGCAGGGCUAGAGUCCUGGAGAGGAAGGUGGAAUGCUUGGUGUAGAGGUGAAAUUCGUAGAUAUCAAGUGGAACACCGGUGGCGAAGGCGGCCUUCUGGACAGUGACUGACGCUGAGACGCGAAAGCGUGGGGAGCAAACAGG
rnacentral:rRNA from 1 species